GAAGGGCAUCUGGUGGAUGCCUUGGCGCCGAGAGGCGAGGAAGGACGUGGCACGCUGCGAUAAGCCGCGGGGAGGGGCGAGCGCCCGGUGAUCCGCGGAUUUCCGAAUGGGGCAACCCACCGCUUCGUGCGGUACCGUCGGCCGAAUCCAUGGGUCGGCGGGGCGAACCCGGGGAACUGAACCAUCUCAGUACCCGGAGGAAAGGACAUCAACCGAGACUCCCGAAGUAGCGGCGAGCGAACCGGGACCAGGCCAGUGGUCGUACGACGAGAACCGGAAGCGUCUGGAACGGCGCUCCACAGAGGGUGACAGGCCCGUACGGGUAGGGCGUCGUGCGAUCCUCGAGUAGGGCGGGACACGUGGAAUCCUGUCCGAAGACGGGGGGACCACCCUCCAAGCCUAAGUACUCCUCGGCGACCGAUAGUGCACCAGUACCGUGAGGGAAAGGUGAAAAGCACCCCGACGAGGGGGGUGAAAGAGAUCCUGAAACCGGAUGCCUACGAGCAGUCGGAGCCCGACCCGGGGGUUCGCCUCCGGGGGUGGGUGACGGCGUACCUUUUGCAUAAUGGGUCAGCGAGUUACGAUCGGCGGCGAGCUCGAGCCGGUAGGCGGAGGCGCAGCGAAAGCGAGUCCGAAAGGGGCGCCAGUCGCCGGUCGUAGACCCGAACCCGGGUGAUCUAGCCACGACCAGGUUGAAGGUGGGGUGACACCCACUGGAGGACCGAACCCACGCCCGUUGAAAAGGUCGGGGACGAGUUGUGGCUAGGGGUGAAAGGCCAAGCAAACCCGGAGAUAGCUGGUUCUCCGCGAAAGCUAUUGAGGUAGCGCGUCGCGUAUGCCCUCGGGGGGUAGAGCACCGGAUGGGCUAGGGGGGAGCGAUCCCUACCAAACCCAACCGAACUCCGAAUACCCGAGUUGCCAGCGCGGCAGACAGACGGCGGGUGCUAAGGUCCGUCGUCGAGAGGGAAACAGCCCAGACCGCCGGCCAAGGUCCCGAAGUCGUGGCUAAGUGGGAAAGGAUGUGGGACGGCCCAGACAGCCAGGAGGUUGGCUUAGAAGCAGCCAUCCUUUAAAGAAAGCGUAACAGCUCACUGGUCGAUGCCGUCCUGCGCCGAAGAUGGAACGGGGCUCAAGCCACGCACCGAAGCCGCGGGCUCUCCCUUUUGGGGGAGCGGUAGCGGAGCGUUCCGUAGGCCCGUGAAGCCGUCCCGGGAGGGGCGGUGGAGGCAUCGGAAGUGCCUAUGCUGACACGAGUAGCGCAAGGAGGGUGAGACUCCCUCCCGCCGGAAGUCCAAGGGUUCCUGCGCAAGGUUCGUCCGCGCAGGGUGAGCCGGCCCCUAAGGCGAGGGCGAGAGCCGUAGCCGAUGGGAACCAGGUCAAGAUUCCUGGGCCCGCUGGUGGUGACGGCGCCGAACCGUCGUUCGACCUCAUCGGAUUGGUCGGGCGGCCGGAGGCGUCCAGGAAAGAGCCCCAGCACAUGGACCGUACCCGAAACCGACACAGGUGGACUGGUCGAGCAUACCCAGGCGAGCGAGCGAACGGCGUCGAAGGAACUCGGCAAAUUGCCCGCGUAACUUCGGGAGAAGCGGGGCCUCGGUCCGGGCAACCGGAUCGGGGUGGCACAGGCCAGGGGGUGGCGACUGUUUACUAAAAACACAGGGCUCUGCGAACUCGAGAGAGGACGUAUAGGGUCUGACGCCUGCCCGGUGCCGGAAGGUCAAGGGGAGGGGUGCAAGCUCCGAACCGAAGCCCCGGUAAACGGCGGCCGUAACUAUAACGGUCCUAAGGUAGCGAAAUUCCUUGUCGGGUAAGUUCCGACCUGCACGAAUGGCGUAACGACUUCCCCACUGUCUCCGACGCCGGCUCGGCGAAACUGAAUUCUCCGUGAAGAUGCGGAGUACCCGCGGUCAGACGGAAAGACCCCGUGCACCUUUACUACAGCUUUGCAGUGGCACUAGGCGGGCCGUGUGUAGGAUAGGUGGGAGCCUGCGAAGCGAGGGCGCCAGCUCUCGUGGAGGCGACCUUGAAAUACCACCCUCGGGCCGUCUGGUGUCUAACCGCGCACCGUGAGCCGGUGCCGGGACCCUGCAUGGCGGGUAGUUUGACUGGGGCGGUCGCCUCCCAAAAGGUAACGGAGGCGCGCGAUGGUCGGCUCAGGCUGGUCGGAAACCAGCCGUCGCGUGCAAGCGCACAAGCCGGCCUGACUGCAAGACCGACAGGUCGCGCAGAGACGAAAGUCGGCGCUAGUGAUCCGGUGGUCCCGUGUGGAAGGGCCAUCGCUCAUCGGAUAAAAGGUACGCCGGGGAUAACAGGCUGAUCUCCCCCAAGAGUCCCCAUCGACGGGGAGGUUUGGCACCUCGAUGUCGGCUCAUCACAUCCUGGGGCUGCAGCAGGUCCCAAGGGUUCGGCUGUUCGCCGAUUAAAGUGGUACGUGAGCUGGGUUUAGAACGUCGUGAGACAGUUCGGUCCCUAUCUGCCGUGGGUGUACGAGACUUGCGCGGAUCCGCCCUCAGUACGAGAGGACCGGGGUGGACGGACCUCUGGUGGACCGGUCGUCGCGCCAGCGGCGCAGCCGGGUAGCCACGUCCGGACGGGAUAACCGCUGAACGCAUCUAAGCGGGAAACCCACCGCAAAACCAGGUCUCGCCAUCAGAGCCGUGGUAGACCACCACGUCGAUAGGCCGGAGGUCGAAGCGCGGCAACGCGUGCAGCCAACCGGUCCUAAUCGCUCGAUCGU
rnacentral:rRNA from 1 species